rnacentral:rRNA from 1 species
UCUAUAAUGCAGUCGAGCGGACGACGGGAGCUUGCUCCCUUAGGUCAGCGGCGGACGGGUGAGUAACACGUGGGUAACCUGCCUGUAAGACUGGGAUAACUCCGGGAAACCGGGGCUAAUACCGGAUGCUUGAUUGAACCGCAUGGUUCAAUCAUAAAAGGUGGCUUUUAGCUACCACUUACAGAUGGACCCGCGGCGCAUUAGCUAGUUGGUGAGGUAACGGCUCACCAAGGCGACGAUGCGUAGCCCACCUGAGAGGGUGAUCGGCCACACUGGGACUGAGACACGGCCCAAACCCCUACGGGAGGCAGCAGUAGGGAAUCUUCCGCAAUGGACGAAAGUCUGACGGAGCACCGCCGCGUGAGUGAUGAAGGUUUUCGGAUCGUAAAACUCUUUUGUUAGGGAAGAACAAGUACCGUUCGAAUAGGGCGGUACCUUGACGGUACCUAACCAGAAGGCCACGGCUAACUACGUGGCAGGCAGCCAU